rnacentral:rRNA from 1 species
AGAGUUUGAUCCUGGCUCAGGAUGAACGCUGGCGGCGUGCCUAACACAUGCAAGUCGAACGGGACUUGCCCCUUCGGGGACAAGUUUAGUGGCGGACGGGUGAGUAACGCGUGAGCAACCUACCUUUCAGUGGGGGACAACAGUUGGAAACGACUGCUAAUACCGCAUAACACUUAUUUAGGGCAUCUUAAAUAAGUCAAAGAUUUAUUGCUGGAAGAUGGGCUCGCGUCUGAUUAGCUAGUUGGUGGGGUAACGGCCUACCAAGUCGACGAUCAGUAGCCGGACUGAGAGGUUGAACGGCCACAUUGGGACUGAGACACGGCCCAGACUCCUACGGGAGGCAGCAGUGGGGGAUAUUGCGCAAUGGGGGAAACCCUGACGCAGCAACGCCGCGUGAAGGAAGAAGGUUUUCGGAUUGUAAACUUCUUUUGUCAGGGACGAAUAGAUGACGGUACCUGACGAAUAAGCUCCGGCUAACUACGUGCCAGCAGCCGCGGUAAUACGUAGGGAGCGAGCGUUGUCCGGAAUUACUGGGUGUAAAGGGUGCGUAGGCGGCAGAGCAAGUCAGAUGUGAAAUACACGGGCUUAACCCGUGGGCUGCAUUUGAAACUGUUCAGCUUGAGUGAAGCAGAGGCAGGCGGAAUUCCCGGUGUAGCGGUGAAAUGCGUAGAGAUCGGGAGGAACACCAGUGGCGAAGGCGGCCUGCUGGGCUUUAACUGACGCUGAGGCACGAAAGUGUGGGUAGCAAACAGGAUUAGAUACCCUGGUAGUCCACACUGUAAACGAUGAAUACUAGGUGUGGGAGGACUGACCCCUUCCGUGCCGCAGUUAACACAAUAAGUAUUCCACCUGGGGAGUACGACCGCAAGGUUGAAACUCAAAGGAAUUGACGGGGGCCCGCACAAGCAGUGGAUUAUGUGGUUUAAUUCGACGCAACGCGAAGAACCUUACCAGGAUUUGACAUCCAACUAACGAAGUAGAGAUACAUCAGGUACCCUUCGGGGGAAGUUGAGACAGGUGGUGCAUGGUUGUCGUCAGCUCGUGUCGUGAGAUGUUGGGUUAAGUCCCGCAACGAGCGCAACCCUUAUGGUCAGUUACUACGCAAGAGGACUCUGGCCAGACUGCCGUUGACAAAACGGAGGAAGGUGGGGAUGACGUCAAAUCAGCACGGCCCUUACGUCCGGGGCUACACACGUGUUACAAUGGCAGGUACAGAGAGACGGUCCCUUGCAAAAUGGAUCAAAUCCUUAAAGCCUGUCUCAGUUCGGACUGGGGUCUGCAACCCGACCCCACGAAGCUGGAUUCGCUAGUAAUCGCGCAUCAGCCAUGGCGCGGUGAAUACGUUCCCGGGCCUUGCACACACCGCCCGUCA